CAACGGGCCACGGGAGAACCUGCGAGCAAACGGACCUGCCAGGAGGGAAUUAGUUUCUGGUCAGGGUGAAAAUUUAGAUGCCUUUUGUUAUUGUCACUUUAGCUCGCUGUGAACAUUUACCUAGUUAAUGAGUACGCGGGCUUGCUUAAGCUGGACAGACAGCAUCUCCCCACUGCCCGGGUUCUCUCUCAGGUCUUGCUGUGAGCAGUGGAUCAGGGAAAAUACCAGGAGGCCUGAGAAGGCUGUGCAGGCCUUGCACAUGUGUGUGCUUGUGUGUAUGUGUGUGCUUGUGUGUGCAUUUUUGUGUGUGCUUUGGGAGGACAAUGGUCCUGGUGCUCAUAUUGGUGUUUGGUGCUGUGUUCGUCAGGAUUUUGUGGCUGUGACCACCUGACAUGAUCAACUAAGAGGAGGAAAAGUUUACUUUGGCUCAUGGUUUCAGAGGUUCAGUCCACCAUGGGCUGACUCCAUUGCUCUGGGCCCAGGUGAGGCAGAACUUCAUGGCAGAAGGAUGUGGAGGAAGGAGGCUACCCAGCUCAGGGCAGAUGGGAGGCAGAGAGAGAGCAGGGAAGAGGCCAGGGGAGAUUCACCCCCGGGGCAGCCGCCUCCAGCCACACCCCACCUGCCUGUAGUAUCACCCAGUCAGUCCACUCAAACUAGGAUGGACUGACCACGUUACAGCUCAUAAUCUAAUCAUUUCACCUCUGAAUAUUCCUGCAUUAACUUAAGCUUUUUGGAGGAUGCCUCAUAUCCAAAUUAUAACAUUCCACCUCUGGUCCCCCCAAAGCCAUUACCAUCUCACAGUGCAAAAUACAUUUAGUCCAUCUUCAGGAGUUCUAUUAAUAUUUCCAGUACUCCUCGGAAGACUGAGUCCUAAAUCUCCUGGGACACUCAACACAAACUGUGGCUAUGAUCUCCUGUAAAGAUGCAAAAACUAGUCACCUACACUCAAUACACAGUGGCACAGGGUAAAAGAUACCAUCCCAAAGGGAGAAUAAGGCAUAGGGUGAAAGGAUGGGACCAAUGCAAACCAAAGCCCAGCUGGGCAAACAGGUCCUGGGAUGCCUGCACAGCCCCUGGACACUGGGCAGAUGUGCGCCCUCCCAGGGCUUUGCAGCCCUGCCCCUUGGCCUCGCUGGUCGUAGCGUACUCGGGCUUUCCUGUAGCCUGGCUUUCCCCACGGCCGGCAGCUUCUCCUGGCAGACAGGCACAUGACUGGUAAUUCUCAAUUCCUGGGCCUCCCUUCCAGCUUCAGCUUCACCUCCACAGCUUCCCACGUCACCCUCUCGGGGGCAGCCUGCAGGGGCUCUCACCCACUACAUUUUGGUCGACCUCCCAGACCUUCCACUACAACCUGGUAGGAGCCUCCCAAGAGCCCUUAACUGCA
rnacentral:lncRNA from 1 species